GAGUUUGAUCCUGGCUCAGAGCGAACGCUGGCGGCAGGCCUAACACAUGCAAGUCGAACGAACUCUUCGGAGUUAGUGGCGGACGGGUGAGUAACACGUGGGAACGUGCCCUUUGGUACGGAAUAACUCAGGGAAACUUGAGCUAAUACCGUAUGUGCCCUUCGGGGGAAAGAUUUAUCGCCAUUGGAGCGGCCCGCGUCUGAUUAGCUAGUUGGUGAGGUAAAGGCUCACCAAGGCGACGAUCAGUAGCUGGUCUGAGAGGAUGACCAGCCACAUUGGGACUGAGACACGGCCCAAACUCCUACGGGAGGCAGCAGUGGGGAAUCUUGCGCAAUGGGCGAAAGCCUGACGCAGCCAUGCCGCGUGGAUGAUGAAGGUCUUAGGAUUGUAAAAUCCUUUCACCGGUGAAGAUAAUGACUGUAGCCGGAGAAGAAGCCCCGGCUAACUUCGUGCCAGCAGCCGCGGUAAUACGAAGGGGGCUAGCGUUGCUCGGAAUUACUGGGCGUAAAGGGCGCGUAGGCGGACAUUUAAGUCAGGGGUGAAAUCCCAGAGCUCAACUCUGGAACUGCCUUUGAUACUGGGUGUCUUGAGUGUGAG
rnacentral:rRNA from 1 species